UGCUGUGUGCAGUGGCAGUAUCAUAGUCUGUGAGGCUCAACUGAGGCAUGAUUACUGCUAAUUGAAACUUUUCCAGGACCAAC
rnacentral:snRNA from 1 species